rnacentral:rRNA from 1 species
GAUGAACGCUGGCGGCGUGCUUAACACAUGCAAGUCGAACGAUUGAAGCUGGAGCUUGCUCCGGCCGAUUUAGUGGCGGACGGGUGAGUAACGCGUGGGUAACCUGCCUCAUACAGGGGGAUAGCAGUUGGAAACGACUGGUAAAACCGCAUAAGCGCACGGUGUCGCAUGACACAGUGUGAAAACACUCCGGUGGUAUGAGAUGGACCCGCGUCUGAUUAGCUAGUUGGUGAGGUAACGGCCCACCAAGGCGACGAUCAGUAGCCGGCCUGAGAGGGUGAACGGCCACAUUGGGACUGAGACACGGCCCAAACUCCUACGGGAGGCAGCAGUGGGAA